AGAAUCAACGCUGGCGGCGUGCCUCAGACAUGCAAGUCGAACGAUUAAGACUCCCUUCGGGGAGUGUAUAGAGUGGCGCACGGGUGAGUAACACGUAAGUAAUCUACCUUCGAGUGGGGAAUAACAUCGGGAAACCGAUGCUAAUACCGCAUAAUGCAGCGGCAUCGCAAGAUGACAGUUGUUAAAGAUUUAUCGCUUGAAGAGGAGCUUGCGGCAGAUUAGCUAGUUGGUAAGGUAAUGGCUUACCAAGGCUACGAUCUGUAACCGGUCUAAGAGGACGGUCGGUCACACUGACACUGAAUAACGGGUCAGACUCCGUACGGGAGGCAGCAGUCGGGAAGUUUUGGG
rnacentral:rRNA from 1 species